rnacentral:rRNA from 1 species
GUCCUACGGGAGGCAGCAGUGGGGAAUAUUGGACAAUGGGCGCAAGCCUGAUCCAGCAAUGCCGCGUGGAUGAUGAAGGCCUUAGGGUUGUAAAGUCCUUUCGGCGGGGACGAUGAUGACGGUACCCGCAGAAGAAGCCCCGGCUAACUUCGUGCCAGCAGCCGCGGUAAUACGAAGGGGGCUAGCGUUGUUCGGAAUUACUGGGCGUAAAGGGCGCGUAGGCGGUCCUUCAAGUCAGAUGUGAAAGCCCCGGGCUUAACCUGGGAAGUGCAUUUGAGACUGGGGGGCUUGAGUUCCGGAGAGGUGGGUGGAAUUCCCAGUGUAGAGGUGAAAUUCGUAGAUAUUGGGAAGAACACCGGUGGCGAAGGCGGCCCACUGGACGGACACUGACGCUGAGGCGCGAAAGCGUGGGGAGCAAACAGGAUUAGAUACCCGAGUAGUC